GGACAAGCUCAACUACUACACAAUUUUUAUUUUCCAACGCUAGAAUAAACAUGGAAAUCAUGGAAAUUGAUUUUACAUUCGAGUUUCACCACUGCCUAUUUUUAGACAAGCACUUGCAAACCUUUAGAGAUGUUUUCCUCUGUUUCUCCUUUGGUUCUUCAGCAUCUCGGUCUCCUCUAUUUUUUGUUUGCUUGUGGCUUUCCUUGCCCCGUCUAGGUAGG
rnacentral:misc_RNA from 1 species